rnacentral:lncRNA from 1 species
AGGUACUCCAUUGUCUGAUGGAUCUGAGAACGCUGUCUGGGCUUGGUACCAAGAGCUGGUAUUUCACAGCAGCGACCGCCUCACAGACGAGCUGUGGGAAGCAGGAGGGAGACUCUCUCUUAGGGUGCCACUACUAUGGAGACACAGCUGGGCUGAACAAGAUUUGCUUCAAACGACAACAAGAGAGACAGAAAGUAUCUGGUUCAACCGCUGCCCGAGCAGGCAGGCACCAGAAGAGCUAGCAGCCAAUCCGGCCAUGCUCGAAGCCAGCUCUGCAGCUCAGCCAAUCAGUGACAUCAUUGCUUUCUUUAGCUUGCCCAUGGUGAUGUGAAGAUGAGAAGAAAUAGCAAGGCCCAACCAGUUCUUCAUCUGGAGACAGUUCAACGUUCUGCAAACCAGAUCUUCAGGAAUUUUACUGGGAUAAUUAUCCAAAUAAAUUGCAAGCAUUCUAUCCAAAUGGAGCUCUUUCUGAGAUGAAGAGAAUUCUCAAUGUCAAGAUUUGAACAAGAAGAGAAUGGAAUACACAAUAUGGACAUCCAUAAAAAUUCAUCAGAGAGCAUUUUACUACUGAGCUGCAAAGGGAAAAACUUAAAAUGGAUAUGAAAAGUGAAGAAAGUGAUCAUAGGAGAAAACCAUUUCAGAUAUCUGUGGAUAUCUCUCCAGAACUUCAUGUAUAUGUAAGUGACUUGCUCCCAAUUCUUUCACAUUUUAUCAAUAUCAGCUGUGUUUUGCUUAAAAAAUGAGCCUUACCUAACUAAAAUUUCUACUGUAAUAAAGCAAGUUAAUUGUAGUGAAAUCUAAUUAUCUGUUUACUAUGAUUUCAUUAUAAAUCUUGUGGGUUUUUUUUUCUUACAUUGUCCUUAUGUAUUAGCACCUGUGGUAAGAUAUAUUGAUCACAGUUUCAUCAGAUAGGCAUACUGCUUCAAUAUUGUUUGAAAAAAAUCUUUAUCUUUCAGCUUCAUAUUCUAGGAGGAACCAAAUGUAACAUUUACUUUUCAUUUUGAUUGCAUAUUAACUUGAGGUCAUAAUCUUGCUUUAACAAUCCAUCUCUUCUAAUUAUAGAUAUAGGAGGUAUGGAAGUAUGUGUUUGCCACAGAACAAACCCUGGAUAUAUUUCCAUCUUGCUUAUAAAACUUGUCUUUAUGUAAAUGUUUAAAUAAGAUAUUUUAGGAUAAAUGGUUUUUAUCAUUGCCUAUUAUGUCAUUUUCUAUUAAAAGUGAAUUUUAUACUUAAUUGACUCUGAUUCUUAAGGCAUUAAAUUCUAGUCCAUUCUUCUUAUGAGAUAGGGUUAGUAAAAUAAGUUAGUUUUAUGGGAUCAAAAGCUACAAACAGGCUGGGCAUGCUGGCUCAUACCUGUAAUGCCUGCACUUUGGGAGACUAAGGCAGGAGGAUCGCUUGAGGCUAGAAGUUUGAGACCAGCCAGUGCAAUAUAGCAAGACCCCUGUCUCUAUAAAGAAAAAAAAUCAAGUAAAAA